UACGGAGGUGACCAGCGUUGUCCGGAUUUACUGGGCGUAAAGAGCGCGCAGGCGGUCGUUCAAGUCGGGUGGGAAAGCCCCCGGCUCAACUGGGGAGGGUCACUUGAUACUGAUCGACUCGAAGGCAGGAGAGGGAAGCGGAAUUCCCGGUGUAGUGGUGAAAUGCGUAGAUAUCGGGAGGAACACCAGUGGCGAAGGCGGCUUCCUGGCCUGUUCUUGACGCUGAGGCGCGAAAGCUAGGGGAGCAAACGGG
rnacentral:rRNA from 1 species